rnacentral:lncRNA from 1 species
UGUGGGGGGAAAAAUUGGGUCAAAAAGUAGUGUGUGGGGGGAAAAAUGGAUGGAAAGGAGCCCCAGAAUGGGACGUGCAGUGGGAAAAAUGGGUCAAAAAGGAGAGUGGUGGGGAAAAGUGGGUCAAAAGGGGCCCCAAAAUGGGUGGAAAGGAGCCCCAAAAUGGGAUGUGUGGGGAAAAACUGGGUCAAAAAGUAGUGUGUGGGGGGAAAGUGGGUCAAAAGGAGCCCCAAAAUGGGAUGUGAGGUGGGAAAAAUGGGUCAAAAUGGAGAGUGGGGGGGGGAAAUGGGUGGAAAGGAGCCUCAGAAUGGGUCAAAAGGAGCCCCAAAAAGGGAUGUGGGGGAAAAAAUCAGGUCAAAAAGGAGGUUGUGGGGGGAAAAAUGGGUAGAAAGGAGACACAAAAUGGGAUGUGGGGGGAAAAAUUGGGUCAAAAAGGAGAGUGGUGGGGGAAAAUGGGUGAAAAGGAGCCCCAAAAUGGGAUGUGGGGUGGGAAAAUUGGUCAAAAAGGAGUGUGUGGGGAAAAAAUGAGUCAAAAGGAGACCCAAAAUCAGAUGUGCGGUGGGAAAAACGGGUCAAAAAGAAGUGUGUGGGGGGGAAAUGGGUUAAAAGGAGCCUCAAAAUCGGUGAAAAGGAGCCCCAAAAUGGGCUGUGGAAGAAAAAAAUGGGUCAAAACGGAGCGUGUGGGGGAAAAUGGGUCAGAAGGAGCCCCAGAAUGGGUCAAAAGGAACCCCAAAAUGGGAUGUGAGGUGGGAAAAUGGGUCAAAAAGGAGAGCAGUAGGGAAAAAUGGGUAGAAAGGAGACCCAGAAUGGGAUGCGGGGGAAAAAAUGGGUCAAAAAGGAGUGUGGGGGAAAAUGGGUGAAAAGGAGACCCAGAAUGGGUCAAAAGGAGCCCCAGAAUGGGAUGUGGGGGGGGAAAUGGGUCAAAAAGGGGAGGGGGGGGGGGAAAUGGGUGGAAAGGAGCCCCAGAAUGGGAUGUGAGGUGGGAAAAAUGGGUCAAAACAGAGUGUGUGGGGGAAAAAACAGGUCAAAAGGAGCCCCAAAAUGGGAUGUGGGGUGGGAAAAUGGGUCAUAAAGGAGAGCAGUAGGGAAAAAUGGGUGCAAAGGAGCCCCAAAAUGGGAUGCGGGGAAAAAAACGGUCAAAAAGGAGUCCCAAAAUAAGAUGUAGGGUGGAAAAAACAAGCCAAAAGGGAGAGUGGUGGGGAAAAGUGGGUUGAAAGGAGCCCCAGAAUGGGUGGAAAGGAGCCCCAAAAUGGGAUGUGAGGUGGGAAAAAUGGGUCAAAAAGGAGUGUGUGUGGGAAAAACAGGUCAAAAGGAGCCCCAAAAUGGGAUGUGGGGGGAAUAAUUGGGUCAAAAAGGAGUGUGUGGGGGAAAAAUGGGUCAAAAGGAGACCCAGAAUGAGAUGUGGGGUGGGAAAAAUGGGUGGAAAAGUAGUGUGGUGGGGAAAAAAUGGGUCAAAAGGAGCCCCAAAAUGGGAUGUGGGGAAAAAAAAAUGGGUCGGGAUGGAGAGUGGCGGAGAAAAAUGGGUGAAAAGGAGCCCAAAAUGGGUCAAAAGGAACACCCACAUGAAGUGUAGGGUGGGAAAAAUGGGUCAAAAGUAGUGCGAGGGAGAAAAAAUGGGUCAAAAAGGAGCAUGGUGGGAACAAAUGGGUGGAAAAGGAGCCCCAAAAUGGGUCCAAAGGAGCCCCAAAAUGAGUCAAAAUGCAUUAAAUAUGGAUUUGGGUAAAUAACUACUGAUUUGGGUAAUUAAAUAUCGACUUGGGUAAAUAAAUAUCAGUUUGCUGGAACA